rnacentral:misc_RNA from 1 species
UUUACAAGGUGAUCUCUCUCAAGAUUUGUCUCGUUUACGUAGACUGAAGGUGAUGAAUCUCGGAUUCAAUAACUUCAGUGGCGAGAUUCCAACGUGGUUUGGUUUCUAUUCUGAGCUUCAGAUGUUAAUUCUAGAUAAUAACAGUUUCACUUAUAUACCUUCUGCUUCUAUUUCUAACCUGUCUAUGUUAGAAAUUCUUAGUGUUAGAUACAAUCAUCUCCAAGGCGAAUUUCCCAAAGAUAUUGGCAACCUUCAGAAUCUG